GCCUGCAUUGUUUAUUUCAGUGAUUCGGUCGCUAUACAGAAACACGUGUCGCAAAAACCCUUCGAUUGAUUCUGCUGUUAAAUAGAAACUAUGUAUGUAAUAAAUAUAUAAAUAAAAAGGAUUGAAAUUGUUUUACACGAGCAUACACAUAUAACCCUGACCUCCCCGGAAAGAUAAUCUCUAAAAUACAGUUCCCAACUUAGAAUAUCACUUUUAUCCUGAAAUUUUGUCCUCUCCUAAAGCAUAUUUUAUUUUCAACCCUCAACUUGGUGACUCAUUUGUACGUGUUUCCGUCUGGGUGGGGCCAACUUCUUCUAUAUGAAAAUGUUAACAGUACUGUUUCGUGCUUUAUCAAUUACUUUUUUUUGUUCAUAAGCGAACCUUAUUAAUUUCUAUUGAUCGUCUAUUUUCUUUAAUCGUAAAAGAAGUAUGUUGUACUUUUUUGUCCAUAAAUUCUAACGCUUUUUAUUCUAUGCUAUGACAGUUCUUCAAUAUCGUUACCUUGAUUAGAUAUUGUAAAGUAAAAGAUAUGUAAUUAAGUAUGCGUUAAACGCAAAAUGAGUGAAGAAAUUAUAUAUAAAGAAAAUU